rnacentral:rRNA from 1 species
AUUGAACGCUGGCGGAAUGCUUUACACAUGCAAGUCGAACGGCAGCACGGGGGCAGCCCUGGUGGCGAGUGGCGAACGGGUGAGUAAUACAUCGGAACGUGCCCGGUCGUGGGGGAUAACGUAGCGAAAGUUACGCUAAUACCGCAUACGAUCUGAGGAUGAAAGCGGGGGACCUUCGGGCCUCGCGCGAUCGGAGCGGCCGAUGUCAGAUUAGGUAGUUGGUGGGGUAAAGGCCUACCAAGCCGACGAUCUGUAGCUGGUCUGAGAGGACGACCAGCCACACUGGGACUGAGACACGGCCCAGACUCCUACGGGAGGCAGCAGUGGGGAAUUUUGGACAAUGGGUGCAAGCCUGAUCCAGCCAUUCCGCGUGCAGGACGAAGGCCUUCGGGUUGUAAACUGCUUUUGUACGGAACGAAAAGGCUCUGGCUAAUACCUGGGGCUCAUGACGGUACCGUAAGAAUAAGCACCGGCUAGCUACGUG